UUACUUAUGGUUAUAACAAGGAGAUGAGCACUGGAUGAGGUUUUGGAAGAUGUGUCAAGCCCGAUACAAACAUCCAUUGAAGCCAUCCACCACUGCUCCACCUUGCACCCACUACUAUUGCUCUCAUCGCUCUUCACCACUCAAUAGAGAAUGAGUCAAUGCAAUUAAGUGGAAUUUUUACAUGAUUCUUCCAUCUGGUUAAAUUAUCUCAAGACAAAACAAUUCGAAGAAUUACCAUGUGUCUCCACCACACACCCCCACUCCAAUCAUAGCCAUCCAAUGAAGAUCCAACACAAACAACCUUCUCACCACCCUAGCAAGGAAGAAUCAAAGAAAAAACAAAAUAUCAAAGUCCAAAGGCUGGUUGGGAGUUGAUUUUUGAUGCCUCACCAAUUGGCCUUAUAUGGGUCUCCAUCUCCAUCAAUUCAAAUGGGAUCA
rnacentral:lncRNA from 1 species